rnacentral:rRNA from 1 species
UACGUAGGGUGCGAGCGUUGAUCGGAAUUACUGGGCGUAAAGCGUGCGCAGGUGGUUCGUUGUGUCGGUGGUGAAAUCCCCGGGCUUAACCUGGGAAUGGCCAUGGAAACUGGCGAACUGGAGUGCGGCAGAGGGGGGUGGAAUUCCGCGUGUAGCAGUGAAAUGCGUAGAGAUGCGGAGGAACACCGAUGGCGAAGGCAGCCCCCUGGGCUAGCACUGACGCUGAGGAACGAAGGUCAGGGGAGCAAACGGG